rnacentral:rRNA from 1 species
AUUGAACGCUGGCGGCAUGCUUUACACAUGCAAGUCGAACGGUAACAGGCCGCAAGGUGCUGACGAGUGGCGAACGGGUGAGUAAUGCAUCGGAACGUGCCCAGUCGUGGGGGAUAACUGCUCGAAAGAGCAGCUAAUAACGCAUACGAUCUAUGGAUGAAAGAGGGGGACCGGCAGGCCUCGCGCGCGUGGAGCGGCACAUGUCAGAAUAGGUAGUUGGUGGGGUAAAGGCUCACCAAGCCAACGAUCUGUAGCUGGUCUGAGAGGACGACCAGCCACACUGGGACUGAGACACGGCCCAGACUCCUACGGGAGGCAGCAGUGGGGAAUUUUGGACAAUGGGGGCAACCCUGAUCCAGCAAUGCCGCGUGCAGGAAGAAGGCCUUCGGGUUGUAAACUGCUUUUGUACGGAACGAAACGGUCUGGGUUAAUACCCUGGGCUAAUGACGGUACCGUAAGAAUAAGCACCGGCUAACUACGUGCCAGCCGCCGCAGUAAUAC